CCCCUUUAUAUUCUGCCCCAGCAAAGCUAGAAGCUCCAAGUUAGGCCCAUUGUGGGCCAAGGGAUCCUCUGCCUGGCAUCUCUGUCUGCCAUAAAUCCAAAAUAACCAACUGAAGUCGGUGGAGUUCCUGGGGAUUUGUGCUACUGUAAAGGAGAACAGAACAGAGAACUUUUUCUCCUGCUCUCUCAUAAUGAGAAGGAAAGCUGGAAUGUCAGCCUGGCUAUAUUUCAUUGCUUUGCUCACAUCAUAAAAUGGACAUUAUUUAAACCUUCUUUAUUUUUAUAUUUUUUUAAUAUUUGGAAUAUAACAGAAGGAGAACCUUGAUGGUUUCUUAUUUUACAGGAAUAUAAAUAUGAAAAGUAAUUUUUCUUUUACACAUGAGUUAGGAAGCAUAAUUUACUUGAAAGGAUCCUAUUAUAUACUCAGUCCUGUAUUUGUUUAUCUAAUUGAAUAGAAGAGCAUUUACUGCUGCUUCAAAGUUAAGCCAAUAAACAUUUGUCUUGUAUUGCAGGCAGCGAUGUUUGGCAUUUGGAUUGAGCAACACCCAUUUUACCUUGGGUUCAUUUUAUAGUAUUGAUGAAGCAGGACUCCAGUUCCUGGAACAUCUCUCCUCAUCAGUCCCUUUUGGGAGCAGGAUCGUCGCGCUCAUUCCGAAGCUGUGCCAGUGCCUGCAGUUCAUGGGGACUACAGAUGAGAUCUUUGUUACAAGAAGCAUGAGAUCAAUUCUCCAUUCCGAGCCAUGUAAAACAAGAGGAGGACUCUUCCCUGGAGACAGUCUGCCCAUCUGGAGUAUUCAAGCUUUCAAGGGCUGCUUUUCAUCCUCUUCCCUGGCACUUGCUUCUUGCAAGGCUGGGCUGCACGUUCAUAGGUAUGUGACGUUACUGAUAAUACCACAACAAGCUGGCAUCCCCCAAGCAUGUUGGAUGAAGGCUGUCUUUAAAGAGGCAGGUAGGGGCUCGUGCAGUGGGGGAAGUGACCAGGUUUUCCAAUCCCUCAUAUGGAGCUAUCUGGCCACAUGGCUACCUUUCAUCACUUACGCCGACGCCAAAAAAAGGCAUUAUUAAGCCAACAUGCCUGUUGAAAUGUCUGUGUGUACUAAGCUGUCAUGGACUUGUUUUGGGUCAUAAUAGCACGUGUACUUGAUUUCUUUGUUUUGAAUUCCCUCCCCAGCCCCCACCUUUUCUUUUUUAAGAGUCUGAUUUUCUCAGGAGAUUGUGAAUAAAGAAGACAACUCA